UACAGAGGUCCCGAGCGUUGUUCGGAUUCAUUGGGCGUAAAGGGUGCGUAGGUGGCGCCGUAAGUGGGGUGUGAAAUCCCGGGGCUUAACCCCGGGACUGCAUUCCAUACUGCGGUGCUUGAGGACUGGAGAGGAGACUGGAAUUUACGGUGUAGCAGUGAAAUGCGUAGAGAUCGUAAGGAACACCAGAGGCGAAGGCGGAUCUCUGGGCCUUACCUGACGCUGAGGAGCGAAAGCAUGGGGAGCAAACAGG
rnacentral:rRNA from 1 species